UGUAAGGUAAGCUAAAAAAGCUUCCGGACUCAUAUUCCGGAAAUGGAAGUUAAAACCUUCCCCUCACUA
rnacentral:tRNA from 1 species